GUCCGCAGCCGGUCAAAGUCGUGAGACGGUACAACGUUGAGUAGCUUUCCACAGAAGGAGGUGCCUUCGAGGUCAGCUCUGGAGAAACCACAGCCAAGCCGGCCACAGCAAAGCACUUCUAUUGGGAUGCUCAGACGUUUUCAAAUGUUAGUCGCCACCCUGGGCCCUCGCGGCAGGUUGAUUUAGCAAGGCGACUUAGGCUGGAGGUGGGAGGCGAGGAUUCCCGCAGGCCCCCACCCUCCUCUGGAGGCCUCCGAAGCUGGAAAGUUGAGUGGAAUAGGGAGGAAAUCGGGCUUCGGAUUUCCCCCAGCCUCGGGCUCUUUGCAGGCUAGCUCAUGGAGUUAAAAUAACCACAAAAAUAAUACAAAUUAUCCCAAGCACUGAAUGCUCAGUAUGGGCGGGUCACCAUGCCAGGGCGUCUACACGCGUCGCCUCCUUUUAGGUGAACUCUAUUUUGCAGCUGAGGAAAGUGAGGCAGAGAGGAAGGUUAAGGGACCUCCUCACUACCCCUAGCCAGGGAGGGGCAGAUCCGCAUUCUAACCCGCCUCUGUCAGGCUCGGCCUCUAAGCUGGGCUGUCCGCGCUGAGUCCGGGCGGAGGUGGGGGAUGUGUGGGGGGAAUGCUCAGGGCAGGAUCAACUCCCGCGAUUAGCUCUGUGAGCGAAGUGGGAAGUGGCAGGGCCGGGAUGCAGUAGUCGGGACCCUCCAAUGGGAUCCAAGCCUAUGUGGCUACGCGAGAGGGAAGCCACAUGUGCUGCGUGGCUCCGGGGAGAACUGGGUGGGAUGAAAUUCGUAAAAGGAACUGGAUGGGUGAGCGGGAGCCAGUUUGAAACUCACUUUCCUCCUUUAUUUAUUUUAUUUUUAAAUUUGUGGCAGGGUGUUUGAAGAAAACAAGAAAACCAUCCUCAUCCAGGAAACAACAACAACAAAGAGUUCUCUCUCUCUCUCUCUCUCUCUCUCUCUCUCUCAGUCUCCAGGGUCUCACUCCUGUCGCCUAAGGCUAGAGUGCAGUGGCGCGAUCUUGGCUCACCUGCAGCCUCGACUUCUCAGGCUCAAGCGAUCCUCCCACCUCAGCCUCCUGAAUAGCUGGAACUACAGGCGCAUUCCACCACGCCCGGCUAAUUUUUUUGUAUUUUUAGUAGAGACGGGGCUUCGCCCUGUUGCCGAGGUUGGUCUUGAACUCCUGGCCUCAAGCAAUCCACCCUCCUCGGCCUCCCAAAGUGCUGGGCCUCCUUCUUUUUUUGUUGAGGUUCCCAUGCGUGACUCGCCCAAAGAGAGAUUCUCACCGGGUGGGUCUGAGCAGCUCCAGAAAGGGAAGGGAUACAGGGUGAGAGAGAUUUGGGGUAAAGGGAGAGGGAGGCAGGGGGGAAGGGGGCCCCAGGCGAGUCAGUUCCACGAGGCAAGCCCCGCCGGCCGAGCUCCAUGGGCUGAGUCAACAGCGGCCCAGUUGCUUUGUAAUUUACAAGAGGGACUCCGAAUUGUACUUUGUAAUUUGGUGUCGGUUUACAAGGCAAAGGACUUCUGUUUCCUCACCUCACCAGGUCCUUAGUCACGGCCUGACCCCUUUUAAGAGAGGGACCUCAAGAGAGGGGAGCUGAAUUCCUUGAGCCCUCGCCUUUCAAUCAAGUUUUCAAGGCACGCUUUGGCCGGGCCCUCCCGGACUGGCUGUGCUGCUACCUCCAGAGGAAAUCAACGUCUGUACCGAACUCCUAACCUGUGAAGACCUGCUAUCCUCAUAAUUGCGGAGUCGGGCCAAGGAAGGCUACUCUUUCCCCUUUGCAGAUGAGGCAACUGAGGCAACUGAGCUGCAGAAAAAUAACUGACCAAGAUCACCUAGCCGGUGGAACAAACAGCUCGAGCCCAGGCUCUCUGGCUCCUAUUCCCUCUGAAUAUUUAAUUUACUAAACAGUUUGAGCAGCCGUAGAUUCCUUUCACAAUCCGGUAAAAUCUAUAAUUACUCCUCCCCUUCCCCAAAGUGUACUUAUUUUCCCAUUCAAUAUCGGAGCUUCUCGGACUUCCUGAAGUUCGUCCCAGGAUAAAGACCCUCUUUCUCCUCCCCCUCGGCCCGCCCCACGACCUCGCUUCCCAGUAAUUGCUGGGAUCCUGAUUCUCUGGAGGCAUUCCGGGCGGAUUGAUUGAGUGUAAUUCAACUGAGUUAGGAUUACAGCUGCUUGUUCCCCUGUGCCGCAGACGGGUGUGUAGGGAGGGUGGGACUGGUGGGGGGGGGGCACGUGGAGAUGGGCAAGAUGUCUGGAGAGAGCAGUGGGGCUGUUGUGCACGUUUUUGCUAGAGGUGAGGGUUGAGAGCUAGGGAGUAAACAAUCCUGAGCCCACCCCGCUGGGACCCACGGGCUGAGGUCCUCCAGGAAGCACUGGGGCUCAGCUCCCUAUAUCAGUACCGAUGGAGCACACACAGGAAGAAGGCUGGUGGCUCUGCCGGAGCAUUCUGAGGGCCUUUUUCUCUGCAUACGCUGGGACCUGCAGUCCCAUCUCCCAUUUGGCCUCAGCCAGCGUGGUUUAUUGUACACAAAUCCCGCUUGUUUCCUCCUUAUGCAGCAGUUUUAAAAUUUCGAACUAGUUCAAGAGCUGCUCGGUUGCUCGUUUACUUUCAGUUUUGGGAACAGAGGCUUACACCCCUUUCUCCUGUUUCUCCUCCGGUCCCCCUUCCCCUCAAUCUAGUUUCCCAAAGUUAGCAAACCUACUUUCUUGAUUUUGUUUCUUAACAUUUAAAACAACUGGUGAAGGGCUAAUGAUUUCAUCUCCUUACCACCACCCCUAACCUUAAAAGCAAUAAAUAAAAUAAAAGCCCAGCCUGCCAACCGCAUGCACACACGGCCAGCGGUGGUGGGGGUUUGUAGUUUGCAUACACGUCGCGGGGCAGAAGCCUGUUUGCAAAGGCAGAAAUGUAGCUAGCAAGGGAAGACGCUGAAAAAACAGAGUGAUUUGAUAAAAACGUGCUGGGUCCUGUUACAGGAGGGCUGCUGGUAGUAAUCCCAGGUACUAAAAUCAGAAGGGGUGCAGGGGAAUAAAAUUUAAAAAAGCAAA
rnacentral:lncRNA from 1 species